rnacentral:rRNA from 1 species
AUUGAACGCUGGCGGCAGGCCUAACACAUGCAAGUCGAGCGAGAGGCGGACGGGUGAGUAAUGUAUGGGGACUGCCCGAUAGAGUGGGAUAACUACUGGACACGGUAGCUAAUACAGCAUACUAUCGGAUAACCCAUAUGGGAUUAGCUAGUAGGUGAGGUAAUGGCGCACCGGGGCGACGAUCCCUUGCUGGUCUGAGAGGAUGAUCAGCCACACUGGGACUGGGACACGGCCCGGACUCCUACGGGGGCGGCAGUGGGGAAUAUUGGACAGUGGGCGCAGUCCUGAUGCAGCAAUGCCGCGUGUAUGAAGAAGGCCCUGGGGUUGUAAAGUACUUUCAGUCGGGAGGCGUUACCGACAGAAGAAGCAUCGGCUAACUCCGUGCCAGCAGCCGCGGUAAUUC